rnacentral:lncRNA from 1 species
AUGGAUGAUCAGCUUCUGCAUUUCAACAGAAAUGCAGAAAUUAAUUUCAAUGAAAUUAAUAGUUUGGUAUUCAUUUUCUUAUUCUCUCUUCAGCCCAGAAUUCCACUGAGGAAGCUGUUGUGGCAGGGAGAUAGCCUGCAACUCAGGUGCCCAGAAACAGAGGAAGAUUCCAAUGACAGAAGGAAGAAGACAUCUCUGUACUUCUGCCCAUUCAAGCUGUGUUCGGAAUGUUGUCUUCAUCUCAUUUCAUAGUUGUAAAGAGGAAAAGUAGCCUCAGGCUAUACAACUCAAGGUCUCUGCUCCAACCUGGCCUCCACCUGUACUACCAAAUCGAUACAUUACUAUUUUUAUAGGUGAUCAUGACUUUUUGGCCAGUCAUAUUUACUUAUCAUUCCCAUCAACAUGCUGGUAAUUUAGGUCAAUAAACUUUUAUUGACUAUGUACCAUGUGUCAGGUGCUUUUCUGGGCAAGCAGGGGCACAAAGGUGAGGAAGUUAUAGUCUCUACCUCAAUUUACACAGUAGAGGAAGGAUGAGGCCAACUCCCCACCUCAUCUGGAUGUAUGGUCCUGCAAAACCAAGUUACUUGUCUCUUUAGUCAAGUGCAACGUGCAGCCAGAGAAACACUAAUACGUAGGGUAAUACCGUCAGUAAUAAUCAUCAUAGCUAGCAUUUAACGGACAAGGGGCUAAAUACUUUACUGGCAUUUUUUUUUUUUGACCACCAAAACCACCCUAUGAGUUGGGUAUUGCUAUUAUCUUCAUUUCCCCAUGUUGUAGGUUAACGAACCUUACAGGGUUGUUGUGUUAAUUAAGGAGGUCCAUACUGUAGUGGGCACCAGUGGGGUUGGCUACCCGUGCCACUCUCCCUAAACCGAGAGUUGCUGCCCUCUCCAUUCAUAUUGCAUUCAGUGGUAUGCCCUGGAGUUGUGAAAGCAUAGCUUUCAAAAAUUUAAAACCAUG